GGUAGACUUAACAUGGCAGAAGAAGAUGAAUGUUGCGGGGAAAAGUGUCUGAAGACAGCGUCAAUCAUUUUGAAAUUUUUGGAAGCUGUAAGAUUUUUUUUUAGUAAACCAGAUUAUGGCGUAGGCAGAUCAGUUAAUGAUCCAGUAUAGAUAGAGUGAAUAGUACAUAUAACUAACAAACGAACCCUAAAUAAUUUUGCUUGUUAUUUUAUCUUAUACCUAGACAUUUCUGCUGAUUUGCAUUGCUUCUGUUGCAUAUUACCUCAGCAACAGGGAAGGCGAUUUUGACAAGAGAAAAACCAUCGAGUUUUUCGUUGAUGCAUCACUGGUGGCAAUAUCUGUUGUGGUGUUGUUCAUUCUGAUAUGGCUGUUUGAAAUUCACAAACACG